rnacentral:rRNA from 1 species
GACGAACGCUGGCGGCGUGCUUAACACAUGCAAGUCGAACGGAAAGGCCCUGCUUGCAGGGUACUCGAGUGGCGAACGGGUGAGUAACACGUGGGUGAUCUGCCCUGCACUUCGGGAUAAGCCUGGUAAACUGGGUCUAAUACCGGAUAGGAGCCAUUUUUAGUGUGAUGGUUGGAAAGUUUUUUCGGUGUAGGAUGAGCUCGCGGCCUAUCAGCUUGUUGGUGGGGUAAUGGCCUACCAAGGCGGCGACGGGUAGCCGGCCUGAGAGGGUGGACGGCCACAUUGGGACUGAGAUACGGCCCAGACUCCUACGGGAGGCAGCAGUGGGGAAUAUUGCACAAUGGGCGCAAGCCUGAUGCAGCGACGCCGCGUGGGGGAUGACGGCCUUCGGGUUGUAAACUCCUUUCGCUAGGGACGAAGCUUUUUGUGACGGUACCUAGAGAAGAAGCACCGGCUAACUACGUG